rnacentral:rRNA from 1 species
UACGUAGGUGGCGAGCGUUAUCCGGAAUGAUUGGGUUUAAAGGGUGCGUAGGCGGAAUAUCAAGUCAGCGGUAAAAAUUCGGGGCUCAACCCCGUCGUGCCGUUGAAACUGAUGUUCUUGAGUGGGCGAGAAGUAUGCGGAAUGCGUGGUGUAGCGGUGAAAUGCAUAGAUAUCACGCAGAACCCCGAUUGCGAAGGCAGCAUACCGGUGCACAACUGACGCUCAGGCACGAAAGCGUGGGUAUCGAACAGG